rnacentral:rRNA from 1 species
AAUCCAGAGAUGGAUUUGUGCCUUCGGGAACUGUGAGACAGGUGCUGCAUGGCUGUCGUCAGCUCGUGUUGUGAAAUGUUGGGUUAAAUCCCGCAACGAGCGCAACCCUUAUCCUUUGUUGCCAGCGAUUAGGUCGGGAACUCAAAGGAGACUGCCAGUGAUAAACUGGAGGAAGGUGGGGAUGACGUCAAGUCAUCAUGGCCCUUACGACCAGGGCUACACACGUGCUACAAUGGCGCAUACAAAGAGAAGCGACCU